AGACGUGUUGGAUGCAAACUGAGCCUGGAAUCGCUACUCCCGUCUAAUGAAAGUGUUCAGUUUCCGCUGGUUCCCGGUGGAAAGCCUCGGGAACGCGUGCAGCGCCUCGAGAACUCACUCACGCCUUCCUGUGAGGUCCUGGGCAAUGUCUCAAAUCCAGCACAACCUUCAUUGUGAGGUUAAUGGUUUGUUUACAUUUUAACACUGAGAAACUGUCUAACAAGAAUCUCGCAGAGGAGGGAUUUAUGGCGGCUCCCUAUCAACAUACUGUGCUUGAGACACUGACUGAUCCUACGGACAUCUGGGAAAUAAUAGAGACAAUCGGAAAAGGAACUUUUGGAAAAGUUUACAAAGUGUCUAAUAAGCUAGAUGGUAGCCAAGCUGCAGUCAAAGUACUGGACCCAAUCAGUGUUGUUGAUGAGGAAAUUGAAGCAGAAUAUAGCAUCCUGCAGUCACUUACAAGUCAUCCUAAUGUUGUUAAGUUCUAUGGGAUGUUCUAUAAAACUGAUUUGAAAUCUGGUGGACAUCUCUGGUUGGUUCUAGAGCUGUGCAAUGGUGGUUCUGUCACUGAACUUGUCACUAAUCUGCUCAAGCAUGGUCAAUGCAUGGAUGAAGCACUAAUCUCAUACAUUUUGUAUGGGGCACUUUUGGGCCUUCAGCAUUUACACAACAACAGGAUUAUUCAUCGUGAUGUCAAGGGCAACAACAUACUCUUGACAAUAGAAGGAGGAAUCAAGCUGGUUGACUUUGGUGUGUCAGCUAAACUUACAAAUGCAAGAUUACGUCGAAACACUUCUGUGGGUACACCCUUUUGGAUGGCACCUGAGGUCAUUGCUUGUGAACAACAGUUUGACUACUCGUAUGAUACCCGAUGUGACAUCUGGUCUUUAGGCAUCACGGCAAUUGAACUUGGUGAUGGCGAGCCACCUUUGUCUGAUCUGCAUCCUGUGAAAGCACUCUUUAAGAUUCCAAGAAAUCCACCGCCUACUUUAUUGCACCCAGAAAAAUGGUGUAAAGGAUUCAACAACUUCAUUUCACAAUGCCUAAUUAAAGAUUUCGAAGAGCGUCCGUCGGUUGAAUAUUUAUUGGACCACCCAUUUAUAAAGCCAGCUCAUAGAAAAGGCGUAAAGCUGCAGGAGCGGCUAGCUAAUCUGAUCAAAGUACAGCAAGAAGAAUGUUCGGCAAAAACUAGGCAAGAGCACACCUGUAACAGAAGAAAUCAUCACAUGAGGGCCUCAGAGAGCAGUGGUCAGAACAUGUCUGAUGACUUAGUCACCCUUGAAUUCCUUGAUGAGGAAACCAUCAUCAGUUGCCUACAGAAAAGGUAUUCAGAGUUACAGAUAUACACGUAUGUUGGAGACAUCUUAAUUGCUUUAAACCCUUUCCAGGAUCUAUCUAUAUACACUCCAGAGUUUUCAAAGGUUUAUCACGGAGUCAGGCGUUGUUCAAAUCCACCACAUAUCUUUGCCACUGCAGAUGCUGCUUACCAAGGAAUGGUGACGUUUAACAAAGACCAGUGUAUUAUCAUAAGUGGAGAAAGUGGUGCUGGGAAGACAGAGAGUGCACAUUUGAUUGUUCAGCACUUAACUUAUCUGGGAAAGGCAAAUAACCGUGUUCUGAGAGAGAAAAUCCUUCAGGUUAAUCCACUUGUGGAAGCUUUUGGAAAUGCAUGCACAAUGAUCAACGAUAAUUCCAGUCGAUUUGGGAAAUACCUAGAAAUGAAAUUUACUCCCACAGGUGCUGUGAUGGGAGCGAAAAUCUCUGAAUAUCUCUUAGAAAAAUCCAGAGUUAUUCAACAACCAGCGAGUGAGAAAAAUUUUCAUAUUUUUUAUUAUAUCUAUGCUGGUCUCUUUCAUCAGAAGAAGUUAGCAAAAUAUAAACUGGUUGAAAAUAAAUUUCCUAGGUAUAUUGACAAUGACACAAGCAAGAACAUGCACGAUAUUUUAACCAACAGCUUGUACAGGGAACGUUUUGAAGCAAUUCAGCAUUGUUUCAGAAUCAUUGGAUUUACUGAUGAGGAGGUUCAUUCUGUGUACAGAGUGCUUGCUGCAAUCCUAAACACUGGAAACAUUGAAUUUGCAUCCAGAGCCUCAAAACAUCAGAUGGAUAAAAGUGAAAUUCCUGACGGCGAGCCAUUAGAAAACACUGCAGCUCUACUUGGUAUUGGUUCUGAAGAGUUUCAAGAAGCACUUACUUCUCAUUGUGUUGUGACACGUGGGGAAACAAUAGUUCGCACAAAUACUGUGGAUGAGGCAUCUGACGUCAGAGAUGCCAUGUCAAAGGCCUUGUACGGGAGGCUUUUCAGCUGGAUUGUAAACCGCAUUAAUACCCUUCUUCAACCUGACAAAAGUGUAUGUGAUUCUGAAAGUGGAAUGAAUGUGGGGAUUCUGGACAUCUUUGGAUUUGAGAACUUCAGAAAGAAUUCCUUUGAACAACUGUGUAUCAAUAUUGCCAAUGAACAAAUCCAAUUUUAUUUCAACCAACACAUCUUCGCUCUUGAACAGACUGAAUACCAAAAUGAGGGAAUUGGUGCUGUAAAAGUGGAAUACCAGGAUAAUCGACCAAUUCUGGACAUGUUUCUUCAGAAGCCAAUGGGUUUAUUGUCUUUGCUUGAUGAAGAAAGCCGAUUUCCAAAAGCAUCUGAUCAAACACUAAUUGAUAAGUUUGAAGACAACCUACGGACAAAUUCUUUUUGGAGACCAAAAGGCAUGGAAUUGUGUUUUGGUGUUGAACAUUAUGCUGGCAAGGUUCUCUAUGAUGCAUGUGGUUUCCUUGAAAAAAAUAGAGACACACUUCCUGCAGAUAUAGUAGUUGUGCUUAGGACAUCAGAAAAUAAAUUGCUCCAACAACUCUUUUCUGGUCCACUAACUAAAACAGGUAACUUAGCACAGUCUAGAGCAAGAAUAAGUGCAGCAUCCAAAUCAUUACCUCCACAACUACAUGCAAGCCGGAGCAAGUCUCCUAAGUACUUGCUGAAGGUCGAUACAAUGGAACUUAUGAGACAUCCUGAGGAAACAACAAACAUGAAAAGACAAACUGUGGCUUCUUAUUUUAGGUAUUCAUUGAUGGAUCUCCUGUCAAAGAUGGUGGUUGGACAGCCUCAUUUUGUCCGUUGCAUCAAACCCAAUGACGAUAGACAAGCAGGAAAAUUCUUUGAAGAAAGAGUAUUGCUUCAACUGCGAUACACGGGCAUCUUGGAAACAAUACACAUUCGUGCACAAGGCUAUUCUCAUCGUAUCCACUUUGAAGACUUUGUUGAAAGAUAUUACUACCUUGCCUUUAGGGCACAUCAGACACCUCCUGCUGAUCGUGCAAGCUGCAUUGCUAUCCUACAGAAAGCAAGGCUAGACAAGUGGGUGCUUGGAAAAACCAAGGUAUUCCUCAAGUAUUAUCAAGUAGAACAGUUAAAUUUACUGCUCAGAGAAGUCAUUGCCAGUAUUGUGGUUAUUCAAGCCCACAUCAAAGGAUGGCUGGGAGCCAAGAGAUACAAGCGAGCCCAAGCACAAAAACAAAACAAUGCCAUCAUCAUCCAGUCAGCCUGGAGAGCAUAUGUUGCACAUAAAAUCUACAAGCAAUUGAAGACACAAAGAGAAGCAGCAAUUUGCAUCCAAGCAGGUGUUAGGGGUUAUCUGGCUCGCAAAGAAUAUAAAACGAUGACCGAAUGUGAUAUUUUAGCAAGAGGACAAAAGUUCCAGAGCACAAGUCACAUCAGUUAUUUUGUAUCUCAAGAAGAAGGCAUUAAAGUCCAGAGUGUGAAAGAUGAAAAGGCUUCUGAUGAAGUAACAAAUCAACGAUCAGCAAAUAAACUACCACCUACGUCACAUCCAGUUAUGAAAGGAUCAGGCAAGGAGACAGAACAAAGACAGUUAAGAACACCACGUCGACGUAUGCAGCAGCCCAAAAUGCUGAACAGCCCUGAGGACAGCCUGUAUUAUAACCAGUUAAAUGGAAUCCUAGAAUACCAAGGGAGCAAAAGACGGCCAAGAAAACUUGGCCAAAUCAAAGUGCUGGACAUUGAGGAUGAGUAUUACAAAUCACUAUCAGCUGUUGAACCUGUCCCUAAGGAAAAUGAUUCAUUAAACUCUCCUCUUCCUAUUCCGAGAGGUCCAGAAUUUACUCAUAGCUAAAAGAAGACACUAUAGAGGAAUGUUGACCUGACCGUUAUCCCUGGAUAUUGACAAGAUUGAAUCGGCUAUCUAUCUAUGGUUGAUUUGAACUCUUGCUUGAAGACAAGUGCUUUCUGUAUUAAAUGCUUCAAAGAGCAUAAACAAUGGAUAUAUAAUUAGUAUAUUAAUUAAUGUGUAACCUAGAGAUUUAUGUUAAAAUGAAAUGCUUUCAUGCAAGAAUUAAUAAAGCAUUAAGAGGAGUUUGUUGUUAACAUUGGUUGUAUCACAGUGAUAUGUAAAUAUCUAAAUGUUCACCUCUGUUUUUGAAUAAAACUGAACAGUAUUUAGAAACCACUAUAACACCAAAUAUUGUUAAAUGAUUUUCAAAUGCAUUGCCAAUUGUAUUCCUACGUUAAUCAAAAACUAGUAAUUUAUUUUUUAAAAACAUUUGUUUUGAUUGAGUUAAAAACUUUGCACAAUGAAAUGUAAAGUAUUUUGACCACAAAUGUUCUGCUUGAUAAUAAAUUGAAAUGUAGCUUGGUUUACUCACCAGGUGAACGAUUUGCUCUUAAUUAGCACAUUUAUGUGAUGUAAAACAUUGUUGGAUGUCUCAGAAAAUUUGGCAAUGAACCCAAAGUAGUCUAUAAUUUUCAAAUGAAUAUGUAUUUGGGCCCCUUUAAUGGUUUGAAAGUCAUUCAUACUAAUCAAUAUUCAAGUAAAAGUAUCAAGCUGAAUAAAAUGA